GAUGAACGCUGGCGGCGUGCCUAAUACAUGCAAGUCGAGCGAACAGACGAGGAGCUUGCUCCUCUGACGUUAGCGGCGGACGGGUGAGUAACACGUGGAUAACCUACCUAUAAGACUGGGAUAACUUCGGGAAACCGGCGCUAAUACCGGAUAAUAUCUUGAACCGCAUGGUUCAAUAGUGAAAGACGGUUUUGCUGUCACUUAUAGCUGGAUCCGCGCCGCAUUAGCUAGUUGGUAAGGUAACGGCUUACCAAGGCAACGAUGCGUAGCCGACCUGAGAGGGGGAUCGGCCACACGGGAACUGAGACGCGGUCCAGACUCCUACGGGAGGCAGCAGUAGGGAAUCGUCCGCAAUGGGCGAAAGCCUGACGGAGCAACGCCGCGUGAGAGAUGAAGGUCUUCGGAGCGUAAAACUCUGUUAUGAGGGAAGAACAAAUGUGUAAGUAACUAUGCACGUCUUGACGGUACCUAAUCAGAAAGCCACGGCUAACUACGUG
rnacentral:rRNA from 1 species